GUGGGGAAUCUUCCGCAAUGGACGAAAGUCUGACGGAGCAAUGCCGCGUGAGUGAUGAAGGUCUUCGGAUUGUAAAGCUCUGUUAAUCGGGACGAAAGAGCCUAGUGUGAAUAAUGCUAGGAAGUGACGGUACCGGAAUAGAAAGCCACGGCUAACUACGUGCCAGCAGCCGCGGUAAUACGUAGGUGGCAAGCGUUGUCCGGAAUUAUUGGGCGUAAAGCGCGCGCAGGCGGAUCUGCCAGUCUGUCUUAAAAGUUCGGGGCUUAACCCCGUGAUGGGAUGGAAACUACAGAUCUAGAGUAUCGGAGAGGAAAGUGGAAUUCCUAGUGUAGCGGUGAAAUGCGUAGAUAUUAGGAAGAACACCAGUGGCGAAGGCGACUUUCUGGACGAAAACUGACGCUGAGGCGCGAAAGCCAGGGGAGCGAACGGGAUUAGAAACCCCGGUAGUCC
rnacentral:rRNA from 1 species